rnacentral:antisense_RNA from 1 species
AAUAACCAAAUAUGAUACUUGGGCUAAGCGUCAAGUUGGUGAUUUUUCUUACAUCUCCUCCUCCCGGAGCCCAAGUAUCCA